AGGGCGUAUGGGGAAUGCCUAGGCACACUCCGGCGAAGAAGGACGCAGCAAACAGCGAAAUGCGACGGUGAGCGGUAAGCACGUGAAGAGCCGUCGAUAUCCGAAUGGGGGAACCCACACGGAGUCAUAUCCGUGUAUCACAUGUCGAAUACAUAGACAUGAUGAGGCGAGACGCAGGGAACUGAAACAUCUAAGUACCUGCAGGAAGAGAAAAUAAGAAUGAUUUUCUGAGUAGCGGCGAGCGAAAGGGAAAGAGCCCAAACCGAUUUGAGGAUCGGGGUAGUAGGAUCAUCGAUAAAUCAAACAGAGGAUCAUAGAGGAAUCACAUGGGAAGGUGAGCGAGAGAGGGUGAGAGCCCCGUACUCGAAAUGAGAGACUGGAGAGAGAUGACACCUGAGUAGGGCGGGACACGAGAAAUCCUGUCUGAAUCAGCCGGGACCAUCCGGCAAGGCUAAAUACGAGAGAGUGACCGAUAGUGAACCAGUACCGUGAGGGAAAGGUGAAAAGAACCCCGGGAGGGGAGUGAAAGAGAACCUGAAACCAUAUGCCUACAAGAAGUCAGAGCCCGUUAAAGGGUGAUGGCGUGCCUUUUGUAGAAUGAACCGGCGAGUUACUGUAUGGAGCGAGGUUAAGCAGGAUAUGCGGAGCCGAAGCGAAAGCGAGUCUUAAGAGGGCGCGAGUUGCAUGCAGUAGACCCGAAACCGGGUGAUCUAGCCAUGACCAGGUUGAAGUUGGGGUAAAACCCGAUGGAGGACCGAACCGACCCCCGUUGAAACGUUGGCGGAUGAGUUGUGGCUAGGGGUGAAAUUCCAAUCGAACCCGGAGAUAGCUGGUUCUCCCCGAAAUAGCUUUAGGGCUAGCGUCGAGAGAAGAGUUGCGUGAAGGUAGAGCACUGAAUAUGUGAUGGCCCCAUCUCGGGGUACUGAGCAUAAUCAAACUGCGAAUGUCACGCCAACAUGCUCGGCAGUCAGACAGCGGGUGAUAAGGUCCGUUGUCAAGAGGGAAACAGCCCAGACCAUCAGCUAAGGUCCCAAAAUGUAUGCUAAGUGGAAAAGGAUGUGGAGAUGUACAGACAACUAGGAGGUUGGCUCAGAAGCAGCCAUCCUUUAAAGAGUGCGUAACAGCUCACUAGUCGAAUGACUCUGCGCCGAUAAUUUACCGGGGCUAAGCAUACUACCGAAGCUAUGGAUCCCAAGGGAUGGUAGGGGAGCGUUCCAUGAACGGAGAAGUACGACCGAAAGGACGUGUGGAGAUCAUGGAAGAGAGAAUGCCGGUGUGAGUAGCGGAACGUGGGUGAGAAUCCCACGCACCGAAAACCCAAGGUUUCCAGAGGAAGGUUCGUCCGCUCUGGGUAAGUCGGGACCUAAGGCGAGGCCGAAAGGCGUAGUCGAUGGACAACAGGUAGAGAUUCCUGUACCCGUAUAUAUGUGAAGGAAUGACGGAGAGAGGAAGCUGCAGCCAGCGGCUGGAAGAGCUGGUGCAAGCGAGAUAUCGGGAUGGCAGGCAAAUCCACCAUCCGAAACGAGAAGGCGUGAAGCGUACGGAAAGCUACGGCGAGUACGGAAGGCAGUGGAGGAACUUCCAAGAAAAGUUUCUAACGUUAAGUAUAUAUGGCCCGUACCGAAAAUGGACACACAUGGGUGAGGAGAGAAUCCUAAGGUGAGCGAGAGAACUAUAGCUAAGGAACUCUGCAAAAUGACUCCGUAACUUAGGGAGAAGGAGUGCUCAUAGAGAUAUGAGCCGCAGUGAAACGGCCCAAGCGACUGUUUACCAAAAACACAGCUCUCUGCUAAGCCGCAAGGCGAAGUAUAGGGGGUGACGCCUGCCCGGUGCUGGAAGGUUAAGGGGAGGGGUUAACGCAAGUGAAGCCCUGAACUGAAGCCCCAGUAAACGGCGGCCGUAACUAUAACGGUCCUAAGGUAGCGAAAUUCCUUGUCAGGUAAGUUCUGACCCGCACGAAAGGCGUAACGAUUUGGGCGCUGUCUCAGCUGUAGACUCGGUGAAGUCUUAGUACCUGUGAAGAUGCAGGUUACCCGCGACUAGACGGAAAGACCCCAUGGAGCUUCACUGCAGGUUGAUAUUGGGAUUUGAUGCAGCAUGUACAGGAUAGGUAGGAGGCAAAGAGAUGGAUACGCCAGUAUUCAAGGAGCCGCUGUUGGGAUACUACCCCUGUUGUAUUGGAUUUCUAACCGGACGACGUAGAGCCGUUGACGGGACAGUGUCAGUCGGGCAGUUUGACUGGGGCGGUCGCCUCCCAAAGAGUAACGGAGGCGCCCAAAGAUACCCUCAGCUUGGAUGGAAACCAAGCGCAGAGUGCAAAGGCAAAAGGGUGUUUGACUGCGAGACCCACAAGUCGAGCAGGGACGAAAGUCGGGCUUAGUGAUCCGGCGGUGCUGAAUGGAAAGGCCGUCGCUCAACGGAUAAAAGCUACCCUGGGGAUAACAGGCUGAUCUCCCCCAAGAGU
rnacentral:rRNA from 1 species